AGAUUGAACGCUGGCGGCAUGCCUAACACAUGCAAGUCGAACGGGAGUAGCAAUACUCUAGUGGCGGACGGGUGAGGAAUACGUAGGAAUUUGCCCUUAAGUGGGGGAUAACCCGGGGAAACCCGGAUUAAUACCGCAUGACCUCGAAAGAGCAAAGUGGGGGAUCGCAAGACCUCACGCUUUUGGAGAAGCCUACGUCGGAUUAGCUAGUUGGUGAGGUAAUGGCUCACCAAGGCGACGAUCCGUAACUGGUCUGAGAGGAUGAUCAGUCA
rnacentral:rRNA from 1 species